UGGACCUGGAAUACAGUCAUGAUCCUGAAUUGCUCUCAACCACGUAGCUGAGGAUGGCAUCCCAGGAGAUGGCAGAACAACAGAACUUGUAUUCUUAGUCCAGCUGUUUAAUAAAUUGCAAUCACCUAAACACAUGCUCCUAAAUCAAAUCUCGGAUGUCAGAAAGAGCACUGAACCAUCACCGGUUUCUGUUUUUUGGAGAUGCCAAGUCAUAAUAUGCUUUUAAAGGAUGCUUCUACAAGAGCAUCACUUUUCUUUCUUGUGGAUCCACUGAAAACUGCUUUUGCUGCUGUAGAUGUGGUGGAAAUGAGGAAGCAGAAGAAGAGUGCCGCUGCACUGCGGCCCCGGCCCAAACAGCCACGCCGGCCCAAACAGCUGUGCUGGCGGCCCAUGCAGCUCCUACCCCUGGGAACCUCCUGGUCUGUGUGUGAUAAAGAUCCAUCUGGAAAUGUGGCGUCCACUCACCAUCUGCAGAUUCACUGAGAGCUGCAAUCCUGAGUUGGUCCUGCAGCACCAUCUUCUCUCAGUUCUCUAUUUAGGUUUUAAAAGUUUAUCAAUAAUGUUUUGUAGUUUUC
rnacentral:lncRNA from 13 species